CUGCCGGCGAGUGGCGCACGGGUGAGUAACGCGUACGCAACCUACCUUCAAGAGAGGGAUAGCCCUGGGAAACCGGGAUUAAUACUUCAUAGCUUUCACUGAUCGCAUGAGAGGUGGAAUAAAGCUGAGGCGCUUGAAGAUGGGCGUGCGUGCUAUUAGCUAGUUGGUGAGGUAACGGCUCACCAAGGCGACGAUAGCUAGGGGGCGUGAGAGCGUGACCCCCCACACGGGUACUGAGACACGGACCCGACUCCUACGGGAGGCAGCAGUAAGGAAUAUUGGACAAUGGGCGCGAGCCUGAUCCAGCCAUCCCGCGUGCAGGAUGACUGCCCUAUGGGUUGUAAACUGCUUUUAUACGGGAAGAAACGACCUUCAUUGGAGGUUUUGACGGUACCGUACGAAUAAGCACCGGCUAACUCCGUGCCAGCAGCCGCGGUAAUACGGAGGGUGCAAGCGUUAUCCGGAAUCACUGGGUUUAAAGGGUGCGUAGGCGGCCUAUUAAGUCAGAGGUGAAAGGCUGCAGGUCAACUGUGGAAUUGCCUUUGAUACUGAUAGGCUUGAAUGGGGUCGAAGUCAGCGGAAUGUGGCAUG
rnacentral:rRNA from 1 species